rnacentral:rRNA from 1 species
UACAGAGGGUGCAAGCGUUAAUCGGAAUUACUGGGCGUAAAGCAUGCGUAGACGGUCAUGUAAGUCGGGUGUGAAAGCCCCGGGCUCAACCUGGGAAUUGCAUUCGAGACUGCAUGGCUAGGAUGCGGAAGAGGGAAGCGGAAUUUCCGGUGUAGCGGUGAAAUGCGUAGAUAUCGGAAGGAACACCAGUGGCGAAAGCGGCUUCCUGGUCCAGCAUCGACGUUCAGGCACGAAAGCGUGGGGAGCAAACAGG